rnacentral:rRNA from 1 species
UACGUAGGGUGCAGGCGUUAAUCGGAAUUACUGGGCGUAAAGCGUGCGCAGGCGGUUUGCUAAGACAGGUGUGAAAUCCCCGGGCUUAACCUGGGAACUGCGCUUGUAACUGGCAAGCUGGAGUGUGGCAGAGGGGGGUGGAAUUCCGCGUGUAGCAGUGAAAUGCGUAGAUAUGCGGAGGAACACCGAUGGCGAAGGCAAUCCCCUGGGCCUGCACUGACGCUCAUGCACGAAAGCGUGGGGAGCAAACAGG